ensembl:Y_RNA Y_RNA Y RNA
AGCUGGUCUGAAGGUAAUGAAUUAUCUAGAUUGUUCACAGUCAGUUAUGGAACAAACUGCUUGUUCUACUCUUUUUCCCCUUCUCACUACUGCACUUGACUAGUCUUAG